GACGAACGCUGGCGGCGCGCCUAACACAUGCAAGUCGAACGGAGCUGAGAGGAGCUUGCUUUUCUUAGCUUAGUGGCGAACGGGUGAGUAACGCGUGAGUAACCUGCCCUGGAGUGGGGGACAACAGUUGGAAACGACUGCUAAUACCGCAUAAGCCCACGAAGCCGCAUGGCUUUGAGGGAAAAGGAUUUAUUCGCUUCAGGAUGGACUCGCGUCCAAUUAGCUAGUUGGUGAGGUAACGGCCCACCAAGGCGACGAUUGGUAGCCGGACUGAGAGGUUGAACGGCCACAUUGGGACUGAGACACGGCCCAGACUCCUACGGGAGGCAGCAGUGGGGGAUAUUGCACAAUGGGGGAAACCCUGAUGCAGCGACGCCGCGUGGAGGAAGAAGGUUUUCAGAUUGUAAACUUCUGUCCUUGGUGAAGAGAAGAAGACGGUAGCCAAGGAGGAAGCCCCGGCUAACUACGUGCCAGCCGCCGCCGUAA
rnacentral:rRNA from 1 species